CGAAAGCCUGACGGAGCAACGCCGCGUGUGGGAAGAAGGCUCUUGGGCUGUCAACCACUUUUCUCAGGGAAGAAGUUCUGACGGUACCUGAGGAAUCAGCCUCGGCUAACUCCGUGCCAGCAGCCGCGGUAAUACGGAGGAGGCAAGCGUUAUUCGGAAUUAUUGGGCGUAAGGCGUCCGCAGGGGGCGCAUCAAGUCUGCUGUCAAAGGUCGGGGCUUAACUCCGGAAAGGCAGUGGAAACUGAAGCGCUAGAGUGCGGUAGGGGUAGAGGGAAUUCCCGGUGUAGCGGUGAAAUGCGUAGAGAUCGGGAAGAACAUCGGUGGCGAAAGCGCUCUACUGGGUCGCACCUGACCCUCAGGGACGAAAGCUAAGGUAGCG
rnacentral:rRNA from 1 species